rnacentral:rRNA from 1 species
AGUGAACGCUGGCGGCAGGCCUAACACAUGCAAGUCGAGCGGCAGCGCGGGGGCAACCCUGGCGGCGAGCGGCGGACGGGUGAGGAAUACAUCGGAAUCUACCCAGUCGUGGGGGAUAACGUAGGGAAACUUACGCUAAUACCGCAUACGACCUGAGGGUGAAAGCAGGGGACCGCAAGGCCUUGCGCGAUUGGAUGAGCCGAUGUCCGAUUAGCUAGUUGGUGAGGUAAAGGCUCACCAAGGCGACGAUCGGUAGCUGGUCUGAGAGGAUGAUCAGCCACACUGGAACUGAGACACGGUCCAGACUCCUACGGGAGGCAGCAGUGGGGAAUAUUGGACAAUGGGCGCAAGCCUGAUCCAGCCAUGCCGCGUGUGUGAAGAAGGCCUUCGGGUUGUAAAGCACUUUUGUCCGGAAAGAAAUCCUGUCGGUUAAUACCUGGCGGGGAUGACGGUACCGGAAGAAUAAGCACCGGCUAACUUCGUGCCAGCAGCCGCGGUAAGAC